rnacentral:tRNA from 2 species
GGAGCGGUGGCCGAGUGGUUGAAGGCGGCGGUCUUGAAAACCGUUGUGCCGCGAGGUACCGGGGGUUCGAAUCCCCCCUGCUCCG